rnacentral:rRNA from 1 species
UACGUAGGGGGCUAGCGUUGUCCGGAAUCAUUGGGCGUAAAGCGCGCGUAGGCGGUGAUCUUUGUCAGAGGUGAAAUCCCGAGGCUCAACUUCGGAAUUGCCUUUGAAACGGGAUCGCUUGAGUCCGAGAGAGGAUGGCGGAAUUCCUAGUGUAGAGGUGAAAUUCGUAGAUAUUAGGAAGAACACCGGUGGCGAAGGCGGCCAUCUGGCUCGGUACUGACGCUCAGGCGCGAAAGCGUGGGGAGCAAACAGG